GGGGCCGUGAAUCUGGAGGAUGACCAUCACUCUACCAACAAGGAUUACUUUAGGGCCAGACUCGCGCUGUUUGUUCCAGACCAGGACUCUGGCUGAGGAGAGCUGAUGGAGGAGCCAAGACUCUGUAGGACGACAUCACUCCACCAACCAGGAUCCUCAGACAAAUUACGUUUGUAACCAGACCAGGAAUCUGGAGGACUGACGGAGAAGCUGUACAUCUGGAAGGCAAAUCCUGAGGACGAUCAGGACUCUACCAUCAAGGAUUCCUCACACACAUGAGCUGAACCUCACCUGAUCCUGUUUGGUCGGGGGCAGACGCACCUGAGCUGAACCCACACCUGAUCCGGACAUCCUGCUGGUCCCGUCUCCUCAGUUCAUCUGAGCCUCUUCCUCCAGAAGACAUGCUGAGCUCGGCGGUCUGAGGCUGAUACCAGGUAUCCAUGGCUGAAGGAGCUGAUGGUGGAGCCGUGCUGAAAGAGCGGAUGGAGGAGCCGUGCUGACGGCCCUGCCUGGUGGAGGAGCCGUGCUGACGGCCCUGCCUGGUGGAGGAGCCGUGCUGACGGCCCUGCCUGGUGGAGGAUGUCUGUCGUGGGACCAGGACUCUGUCUGAGGAGAGCAGAUGGAGGAGCUGAGAUGCUGGAGGACAACUAGGAAUCGACCAACAAGGAUUCUUCAACGUGUUUCUGGAGCGGAGGCCAGCUGGUAGGGAGCCGUGAAUCUGGAGGAUGACCAUCACUCUACCAACAAGGAUUACUUUAGGGCCAGACUCGCGCUGUUUGUUCCAGACCAGGACUCUGGCUGAGGAGAGCUGAUGGAGGAGCCAAGACUCUGUAGGACGACAUCACUCCACCAACCAGGAUCCUCACCAGGUAUCCAUGGCUGAAGGAGCUGAUGGUGGAGCCGUGCUGAAAGAGCGGAUGGAGGAGCCGGGCUGACGGCCCUGCCUGGUGGAGGAGCCGUGCUGACGGCCCUGCCUGGUGGAGGAGCCGUGCUGACGGCCCUGCCUGGUGGAGGAUGUCUGUCGUGGACCAGGACUCUGUCUGAGGAGAGCAGAUGGAGGAGCUGAGAUGCUGGAGGACAACUAGGAAUCGACCAACAAGGAUUCUUCAACGUGUUUCUGGAGCGGAGGCCAGCUGGUAGGGGAGCCGUGAAUCUGGAGGAUGACCAUCACUCUACCAACAAGGAUUACUUUAGGGCCAGACUCGCGCUGUUUGUUCCAGACCAGGACUCUGGCUGAGGAGAGCUGAUGGAGGAGCCAAGACUCUGUAGGACGACAUCA